rnacentral:miRNA from 1 species
AGAAUUGUGCAUGGACAUCUGU